rnacentral:rRNA from 3 species
UACGGAGGGUGCAAACGUUGCUCGGAAUCAUUGGGCGUAAAGCGCACGUAGGCGGACCGCUAAGUCGGAUGUGAAAGCCCUCGGCUUAACCGAGGAAGUGCAUUCGAAACUGACGGUCUUGAGUAUGGAAGAGGGUCGCGGAAUUCCCGGUGUAGAGGUGAAAUUCGUAGAUAUCGGGAGGAACACCAGUGGCGAAGGCGGCGACCUGGGCCAAUACUGACGCUGAGGUGCGAAAGCGUGGGGAGCAAACAGG